rnacentral:rRNA from 1 species
UACGUAGGGGGCAAGCGUUGUCCGGAUUCAUUGGGCGUAAAGAGCUCGUAGGCGGCUUGGCAAGUCGGGUGUGAAAACUUCAGGCUCAACCUGGAGCGGCCACUCGAUACUGCCAUGGCUUGAGUCCGGUAGGGGACCACGGAAUUCCUGGUGUAGCGGUGAAAUGCGCAGAUAUCAGGAGGAACACCGAUGGCGAAGGCAGGUCUCUGGGCCACUACUGACGCUGAGAAGCGAAAGCAUGGGGAGCGAACAGG